rnacentral:rRNA from 1 species
AGAGUUUGAUCAUGGCUCAGAUUGAACGCUGGCGGCAGGCCUAACACAUGCAAGUCGAACGGUAGCACAGAGAGCUUGCUCUCGGGUGACGAGUGGCGGACGGGUGAGUAAUGUCUGGGAAACUGCCUGAUGGAGGGGGAUAACUACUGGAAACGGUAGCUAAUACCGCAUAACGUCGCAAGACCAAAGAGGGGGACCUUCGGGCCUCUUGCCAUCAGAUGUGCCCAGAUGGGAUUAGCUAGUAGGUGGGGUAAUGGCUCACCUAGGCGACGAUCCCUAGCUGGUCUGAGAGGAUGACCAGCCACACUGGAACUGAGACACGGUCCAGACUCCUACGGGAGGCAGCAGUGGGGAAUAUUGCACAAUGGGCGCAAGCCUGAUGCAGCCAUGCCGCGUGUAUGAAGAAGGCCUUCGGGUUGUAAAGUACUUUCAGCGGGGAGGAAGGUGUUGUGGUUAAUAACCGCAGCAAUUGACGUUACCCGCAGAAGAAGCACCGGCUAACUCCGUGCCAGCAGCCGCGGUAAUACGGAGGGUGCAAGCGUUAAUCGGAAUUACUGGGCGUAAAGCGCACGCAGGCGGUCUGUCAAGUCGGAUGUGAAAUCCCCGGGCUCAACCUGGGAACUGCAUUCGAAACUGGCAGGCUAGAGUCUUGUAGAGGGGGGUAGAAUUCCAGGUGUAGCGGUGAAAUGCGUAGAGAUCUGGAGGAAUACCGGUGGCGAAGGCGGCCCCCUGGACAAAGACUGACGCUCAGGUGCGAAAGCGUGGGGAGCAAACAGGAUUAGAUACCCUGGUAGUCCACGCCGUAAACGAUGUCGACUUGGAGGUUGUGCCCUUGAGGCGUGGCUUCCGGAGCUAACGCGUUAAGUCGACCGCCUGGGGAGUACGGCCGCAAGGUUAAAACUCAAAUGAAUUGACGGGGGCCCGCACAAGCGGUGGAGCAUGUGGUUUAAUUCGAUGCAACGCGAAGAACCUUACCUACUCUUGACAUCCAGAGAACUUUCCAGAGAUGGAUUGGUGCCUUCGGGAACUCUGAGACAGGUGCUGCAUGGCUGUCGUCAGCUCGUGUUGUGAAAUGUUGGGUUAAGUCCCGCAACGAGCGCAACCCUUAUCCUUUGUUGCCAGCGGUCCGGCCGGGAACUCAAAGGAGACUGCCAGUGAUAAACUGGAGGAAGGUGGGGAUGACGUCAAGUCAUCAUGGCCCUUACGAGUAGGGCUACACACGUGCUACAAUGGCGCAUACAAAGAGAAGCGACCUCGCGAGAGCAAGCGGACCUCAUAAAGUGCGUCGUAGUCCGGAUUGGAGUCUGCAACUCGACUCCAUGAAGUCGGAAUCGCUAGUAAUCGUAGAUCAGAAUGCUACGGUGAAUACGUUCCCGGGCCUUGUACACACCGCCCGUCACACCAUGGGAGUGGGUUGCAAAAGAAGUAGGUAGCUUAACCUUCGGGAGGGCGCUUACCACUUUGUGAUUCAUGACUGGGGUGAAGUCGUAACAAGGUAACCGUAGGGGAACCUGC